AAUUCGCCCUUGAGCACGUAGGUGGGUUUGUAAGUCAGAUGUGAAAGCCUUCUGUUCAACGGAAGAAUUGCAUCUGAAACUACAAGUCUUGAGUGUAGGAGGGGAGAAUGGAACUUCUGGUGGAGCGGUGAAAUCCGUAGAUAUCAGAAGGAACGCCGGCGGCGAAAGCGAUUCUCUGGCCUAUUACUGACACUCAGUGUGCGAAAGCUAGGGGAGCAAACGGGAUUAGAUACCCCGGUAGUCCUAGCCGUAAACGAUGGGCACUAAGUAGAGGGGAUUACCGACGUUCUCUCUGCCGUAGCUAACGCAUUAAGUGCCCCGCCUGGGGAGUACGGCCGCAAGGCUAAAACUCAAAAGAAUUGACGGGGGCUCGCACAAGCGGUGGAGCAUGUGGCUUAAUUCGAUGCAACGCGAAGAACCUUGCCGGGGCUUGACAUGGUAGAAGUAGGAACCCGAAAGGGUAACGAACGGUAUCCAGUCCGUGACUAUCACAGGUGUUGCAUGGCUGUCGUCAGCUCGUGUCGUGAGACGUUGGGUUAAGUCCCCUAACGAGCGAAACCCUUGUUUUUAGUUACCAGCGGGUUAUGCCGGGUACUCUAGAAAGACUGCCGUCGUCAAGACGGAGGAAGGUGGGGAUGACGUCAAGUCAUCAUGGCCCUUAUGCCCCGGGCUGCACACGUGCUACAAUGGUCGGUACAAACGGAAGCGAAGCCGAGAGGUGAAGCGAAUCCAAGGGCGAAUU
rnacentral:rRNA from 1 species